UUUCAGUUUGCCCAUUUCGGUUUAGUUGUACAUUGUUGAUUAUUAGGAACAAAUGAGUAAAUUAUUGAGAGUAUGACAACAGUCAACUGCUUAAUUUGUUAACAUAAUGUUCUGUUAAAAUAUGGAUUAUGUUGAUAUGUUGUAACUAUGAGCCAUGAAUAGUAUCCAACAUCAGGGAGUAUCCAAGAGUAAUAAACUAGAAGUGCACAUCAUCUUCACUAUAAAAGAUGAACAGAGUGAGAAAAUGGGCCUUAUCUAAUUCAUCUGCCUCUAGUACUCCUGGCUCACCAAGUUUCUCAAAGUCAUCGUUUGAAAGAAUUACAUGACAGCCUCCACAACUGAUGCCUCCACUGCAACUUCCUGUCAAAGAGAAAAUUGAAUAGUUAACUACAGUCAGCCAAUAAUCCAUAAACAAAAUCUGCACAAAUAUAAAAGAAUAAAAUUUUAAUGAAUGCAA